rnacentral:rRNA from 1 species
GACGAACGCUGGCGGCGUGCUUAACACAUGCAAGUCGAACGGAAAGGCCCUGCUUUUGUGGGGUGCUCGAGUGGCGAACGGGUGGGUAACACGUGAGUAACCUGCCCUUGACUUUGGGAUAACUUCAGGAAACUGGGGCUAAUACCGGAUAGGAGCUCCUGCUGCAUGGUGGGGGUUGGAAAGUUUCGGCGGUUGGGGAUGGACUCGCGGCUUAUUAGCUUGUUGGUGGGGUAGUGGCUUACCAAGGCUUUGACGGGUAGCCGGCCUGAGAGGGUGACCGGCCACAUUGGGACUGAGAUACGGCCCAGACUCCUACGGGAGGCAGCAGUGGGGAAUAUUGCACAAUGGGCGGAAGCCUGAUGCAGCAACGCCGCGUGCGGGAUGACGGCCUUCGGGUUGUAAACCGCUUUCGCCUGUGACGAAGCGUGAGUGACGGUAAUGGGUAAAGAAGCACCGGCUAACUACGUG